AUAUGAUGAAUGUAUGCAUGUAUAAGACUUACAUGACUUCGAUUUAGCAAAGAUGGAAGGAAGAAACGCUUGUACUGCUACUUGAUCUGGUUGUCGUUAAACUCUCAAAAUCGCAGAGGUAGUUUAGAUCUGUGAGGAAGGAAGGAAGUCGUCCAGUCAAUAUAGAAAAUAACACUUCGAGUCCACAAUUUAGUUCUACAGACAGAUGGUUAAGCGCAAAACGGUGCCGCUUGGAUUAUAUCAUUAAUACACUCAGCAUCCGCAGUUUUAUUCUGCGGACGGGCUGACCAAAAACAACAUUGUCUUUAAGGGGAGCUACCUAGCUUCCGCAGAAUUAAACUGCGGACGGGUCGACCAUUAAAAGGCGUUGUCUUAAGAGAAGCCAUACAUAACGUUCACAGUAUUAAACUGCGGAUUGGAGAUACUCCUUACCGUUCAAUCUGCGGACAGAUGGUUAAGAUUUGUUGCAACUUGCAAGGAUAACCUUAUCCUUACAACGCUGGCUAUAGAUCAAUCUCUUAAAUACAAUAAUACAAGUUUAAGUAAAAUUAUAUUACCAUUUAGGUAAUAUAGUUUGAGAAGAAAAUAAAACUAUUUACUUAACUUAAAUUUGUUACUAUUAUUAAAAUAUAACUAUAAUUAUAUUUUCGAGUAUAAGAAAGAUUUAAUCAUUAUUUAGACAAUAUAAUUGUUUUUAUUAUCAAUAUAAAAAUAUAAUAUACUAAUCGACCAUAUGAUUUAAUUAUUAAAUAAAAAUAAAAAUUAAUUACUUUAUCAAAUAAGAAUUCGUAAAAAUAAGUUUCAAAACAUUAAUACUUAUAUUAUAAUCAUAAAACAAGAACUUUCAUUCAGUUUAACCAAGUUAAAAAUAAAAAUAUGUAGUUUACAAGGAAACAAUCAUAAGCUUACUUAAUUUGUUACAAUUAGUAAAUACGAUUUUAUUACAACUUAUAUAAUAUAGUUUGAGGGAAAAAAAUUACACAUCGUCUUACCCAACUUAAAUUUGUUACUCUGAUUAAUUAUGAGUAUAAUUAUAUUUAAGUAUAAAUAAAAUCAUAUUAUAAGUUAAAUAUUAUAAUCUUAGAAGAAAAGUAUUUUUUUAUUAGAAACAUUUUACCUAAUAAAUUCAAUAACAUAUUUAUUAAAAAGAUUAAUAAAAUAUUUAUAAUAUCAUAAUAUUAUAAUAAGACACCCAUGCUUUGCAUAGUGUAGAUGCGAGAAGUACUAUAUAUCUAUACUUUAAUAAUAAAAAAAGGCAGUUUAUUUUGUCUUCUAUUUUAGGUCCAACUUUUGUUUUUUUGUUCGAAAAAAUUACCUUUUUUUUUGCUAAAUUAAAAUUACUUUUCCUAUAGUAUUACUUCUUCUUCAAAAAUUACUUUUCCAACAUUAUCGCAAUAUGGUAUUUAUAUAGUUUAUAAUUGAAUUUUAUUGUUAAAUACAUAUUUUAUUAUACUAUAUUGCAUUGCUUGCAGGCUACUCCAUGAAAGGAAUCUAAAAAUAUUUUGGAUUAAAGGUAUAAAAAAUUUAUGUUUAAUGCAUAGUUAUUGUACAAUAUUUUCUUUAUUUCAAAUAAAAAAUCGAACAUAGAUAGCUCAAAAUACAUUAAAAAAUCUAAAUCAUAAAAAAAAGGGAUAAAUCAACUUUUGGUACCUGUAUUGGGACACGACUUACAAUUUGGUACCUGAAGUGAAAAAAGUUACAAACUGGUGAUUGUACUCUAAAAAUGUUACACUCCGUUAAACAUUAGGGACACGACUUACAAUUUGGUACCCGAAGUGAAAAAAGUUACAAACUGGUGAUUGUACUCGAAAAAUGUUACACUCCGUUAAACAGCAGGGUUUCAUCUUUAUUCUGUUUGAAAAUUAGGGUUCACUUCUUCUGUCCUUCUUCUCUCAUUAUUCUUGUCUCAAUUCUCCAUUGAUUACUGGUUCUCAUACAUUUAUUAAAGGAUUUUCAGUGUUUAAUUGAAGGGAUGAGCUCGUUUUGGAGUGAAAUCGUAAAUAAAAUCGGGGAAGAAGAUUGUAGUUCAUGCAACAAAAAUGAAAGGAUUACACCAGAGUUUCCAAGUCGGUGCCACUGUGGAGCAAUGGUGCGAAUGUGGGAGGCAAGAAAAGAUGGAACAAAACAUCGAGGACCUUCUUCGCGUCGACUUCGCUUCUUUCUCUGUAUGUUGGUCUCUCCCGUUGGAUCAAUUUUAACGAUUAUUUAAAAAUUGAAAAGUACAAGCACCAAAUUACAAAAUUUUUUGAGUACAAUUACCAGUGUGUAACUUUUUUCACUUCGGGUACCAAAUUGUAAGUCGUGUCCCUAAUGUUUAACGGAGUGUAACAUUUUUCGAGUACAAUCACCAGUUUGUAACUUUUUCACUUCGGGUACCAAAUUGUAAGUCGUGUCCCAGUACAGGUACCAAAAGUUGAUUUAUCCCUAAAAAAAAUUACAAAAAGAAUAAGAAUAAAAAAUUUUAAAAUAAAAUUUUUAUCAUUAAAAAUAAUUAAUAAAUAUAAUUUGGAAAAAAGUCCAAAAGUGAUAUUACUUAUUCUAUUUUAAAUAUUAUAUAAGAAACCAUCAACAAAAAAUAAAUAUAAAAUUUAAGAAUAAAAAAUAAGAACCCGUGCUUGUAUACUCCUAGUAUAUAUAAAUGAUUGUUUUAAGUAAGAUUUAGACUAUUUGGUUCGUCCUCCUUAUUUUUGUCCUUCAUUUUUUUGGUUCGACCUUUUACUUUUCGUCAACUAUUAUUAUUUGUAUAUUAAUAUUAAUUUAACUUUCCUACAUUCAUUCAACCUAAUAUAGUUUUACAAGGAAACAAUAUCAUCUUACCUAAUAUUGUAAUGAUUACAUAAACAUAUUCAUUUACCUAAUAUUAUAAUGAUUACAUAAACAUAUAUACAAAUGGUUUUUAAGUUAGAUUUAUUACUACUUAGAUUAAUAUUUAUCCAAUAAUAUAUUUCUAAUAAAAAAUUUAACAAUAUCAUAAUUCUAAUAUAAGACCUCGUGUUUUGCCCAAGGAUAAGGAUUAUAUAUAUAUAUAUAUAUAUAUAUAUAUAUAUAUAUAUAUAUAUAUAUAUAUAUAUAUAUAUAUACGAUCCGGAUCUUAAGCUCACUACUUAUCUAGCUCACUUUGCUCAUCCCCCUUUAGCGACAGACCGGGCGACGAUUCGGUCCGUCACUAUAUGUUCGGUCCGUCGCUAUAUUUUGUCUAUCGCUAAAAGCUAAGACGACCAUUCUACAUAUAGCGAUGGACCGAAUCGUCGCCCGGUCCGUCGCUAAAGGGGGGGUGAGCAAAGUGAGCUAGAUAAGGGGUGAGCUUAAGAUCCGGACCGUGUGUGUAUAUAUAUAUAUAUGGGGGAUGAUCUAGGGCUCGCACUAGCCUAGGCACGGAUUAGAGUCGACCAAUUUUUCACCAUUCGAUCUAAAGAGUGAUGGCUCAAAUUUAAAAAUUUAUGAACCUAUCCACAAAAAAUUGUUGCAGAUAAAACUAAUUCCUGCAGAGUUAUGUUAAAAAGCGUAGAAGGGUCCAAAAUACUUUCUUCUCUCAUAAAACAAAUUUUUAUCUUUCUUCAGUUAUACUUCAAAAUUCAAUAUAUUUUUCGUUAUAAAUAUAAAAUUCUCAUUCUAUAAAUCUUCAGAAAGGUCUCAAAAAGAUCUUCAAAACAAGAUUUAUUGUUGAUAUGUUUUAAUAUAGUUAAAAUACCAAAAGAUGCAAUCAAAGCCUAUAAUGGUAUAUUUCAAAAUACAAAAUUUUAACCACAAUUUUGGUCAUUUUAACUAAAUCAAAAUAUAUCAACAACGCAUCUUGUUUUGAAGAAUUUAAAGAGAGCUCUUCAAUGACAUAGAUUGAUAAUUUUGAAUUUGUAACAAAAAAAUGUUAUAGUAAUUUAAAGAUUAAUGGUAGAAAGAGAAAAAAUGGUUUUAAAAGAGUAGGAAUGCUUUGAUUCUUCCUGGGUUUUUUAACAUAAAAACUAUCUUUAAGAAUUUUUUUGCAGAUACCGCAAGAAUUUCUUGCGAAUACUUUAAGUAACCUUCCAAUCGCUGCUAUUCAAUUUUUAGAUGAACGGUGUGAGAUCAGUUGGCCAAAAAUAAGGUCAGGGUUAGCGCGGGCCCUGAAUCAUCCCCAUAUUAUAAUAAUUGUUUAAGUAAGAUUUAUUACAACUUGGAUUAUAUAGUUUGAGCAAGAAUUAAUUUCUCCUACCUAACAUGAAUUUGUUACUGUUUUAUUGAAAUAUACAUAUAACUAUAUAUUCGAGCUAAUCUUACUUGAUAUUAUUUUUUUACUAUUACUAAAUAAAGGUAUAGAUACAACAAUAUAUAACUUUAUGAGCACAAAAUGCGCACACAUUAUUACCCAUGUAUUGAAUAAUCAUAAAAAGUAAAUAAAUAAAAAGAUCAUAGUACCUAAUAAUAAAUUUUUUAUCAUUGUUAAAUAAGAUUUUAUUGUAACUUAUAUAACAUAAUAAUUUGGGAAGAAAAUAAUUUUUUCACAAAAAUCAUAUUACCUUACUCGGAUUUGUUACUAUUAUUAAAAUAUAAGUAUAAUCAUAUUUUAAUAAAUUCGUGCUUUUAUUAUUAUGUAUAUAAUAUAAUUUUAGAAGCAAACUAUUUUCUUACGAGUAUCAUCUUACCUAAUAUUAAAUUACUAGUAUUAUUAAAAUAUAAGUAUAAAUAUAAUAUAUUGACCAACUAUAUGAUUCAAUAGGGCCACCACUUGGGAUGGGAAUGGCUCAGCCCAUAUGAAGAAAAAAUAAAAAAAUAAUACAUUAUUCAAUAAUAAUAUUUUUAUAACAAAAAUUUAGCAAUAUCAUACCUCAAGGACUGCUUUAGCUUCCUGAUCAAAUACUUUACAAAGAAUCUCAUAACUCUUCUCAAGUCCAAUCUGCAAGAGGUCAAAAUAUUGAGAAAGGUGUUUAAGGAAAAAAUUAAGUAGGACAAACUCUACGUAAAGUGAAGCAAAUAUUCAAAUACCAAAUGAUCGACUCUUGAUGGUGAUAUACUAGAUAUUAUGUACCU
rnacentral:lncRNA from 1 species